AGUUUGGUGCUGAGUGCUCUGGACGCCCCAGCAGGGCCGGAGAAAAUCUGCAGAGGCAGCAGCAACUGGUCACAGAAAUGCUGAGGGGCCAUGUGACUCCAGUGAAGCAGGAGUAUCCAUCCAGCCACAGAGAUGGGACCUGUCCAAAUGGGACCUGUCUGUUCCAAAGGUUAUUCUGCUUGUUCUAGGAGCUUUCUGGAGGAGUCCUUAAGGUUUUCAAGAAAAUCAGGCCAGGCAUGGUGGCUCACAACUGUAAUCCCAGCACUAUAGGAGGCCAAGGCAGAUGGAUGGCUUGAGCCUAGGAGUUUGAGACCAGCCUGGGCAGAAUAGUGAGACCCUAUUUCUACAAAAAAUACAGAAAAAUCAGCCAGGCUUGGUGGCAUGCUCCUGUAGUCCGAGCUACUCGGAAAGCUGAGGUGGGAGAGUCACUUCAGCCUGGGAGAUCAAGACUGCAGUGAGCAGUGAUGAAACUACUGCACUCCAGCCUGGGUUUCAGAGCAAGUCCCUGUCUCAGAAAGAAAAAAAAAAGAAAAAAGAAAACAAGUCAGUAUUUUCCCCCCAAAGAAAGGCUCAUGGGAAUCUUACAAAAUGAGGUUUUAGGAACCAAAAUUACUUCAUGUAGUACUCUCUAGUAAAGGCAGAGGAUGCAAAUGUUGCAGUGGGUCUCUGGUCAGCCGCCAUGAGUCUCUUGGAUCUAACACUUGCUCUCUUCAGACUUCAGUUUCCUCAUAAGGUGAGAACAAGGCUGUAUCUCAGUGCUCUGGGCCUGCUCACACAUCCUGCUCAUAUGAAUGUGAGAGCCACACCAGCCCUCUGGGAAGUAGUCCCUCAAACAGCAGCCCAGUGCAGGGGGAAGGAUGCAAACACUACAGGCAGAUCAGUUUAAUCCACUUUUGGGCAGGGUGACCUUAGGAAAGCCCAUUUCCUUCUGCCUCAAUUGUCACCUCUGUAAAAUGGAAACAAUAAUAUUUAUUUCCGUGGCUGUUUGGAGGAUUACAUAAAAUAACAAAUACAGUGGCAUUCCAUUUUUCUGAGGCAAUUAUGUUCUAUAAAGUCACUGCAAACACUGAAUUACUGGAAUAGUGAGCCAUUGCUCUUACUGGAAAUACAGGAUUAGGUUCCUGAAAAAUCUCUGGUCACAACAUCUUUGUCAACUGAUCAAUACAUAACCAUGAUGUAUGUGUGUUUCUUUUUAAAGGUACCUUAUUUAAUAUCAUUGUUGAUUCAUUAAUAUUAAACUCAUGCCUAAGAAUACUUUAAGUCAUAUCUGAAUGAAGCGUAUCUAAUAUGUAUAUUCUCUCUGAAGGUACAUCACUGCUCUCUUGCACUUAAACACACCAGACAGCACUUCAGCACUAUAUCUGGAGACCAUUUCAAACAGUAAAAUCUCCAAUAAAAGCAAAAAAAAAAAAAAAGUGAAAUUUAUGGCACUAAAUAGACUGCAGAAAGGACACCUGUUGAUAGGAUGAGAGCUGA
rnacentral:lncRNA from 10 species